GACGAACGCUGGCGGCGUGCUUAACACAUGCAAGUCGAACGGAAAGGCCCUGCUUUUGUGGGGUGCUCGAGUGGCGAACGGGUGAGUAACACGUGAGUAACCUGCCCUUGACUUUGGGAUAACUUCAGGAAACUGGGGCUAAUACCGGAUAGGAGCUCCUGCUGCAUGGUGGGGGUUGGAAAGUUUCGGCGGUUGGGGAUGGACUCGCGGCUUAUCAGCUUGUUGGUGGGGUAGUGGAUUACCAAGGCUUUGACGGGUAGCCGGCAUGAGAGGGUGACCGGCCACAUUGGGACUGAGAUACGGCCCAGACUCCUACGGGAGGCAGAAGUGGGGAAUAUUACACGAUGGGCGGAAGCCUGAUGCAGCAACGUCGCGUGCGGGAUGACGGCCUUCGGGUUGUAAACCGCUUUCGCCUGUAACGAAGCGUGAGUGACGGUAAUGGGUAAAGAAGCACCGGCUAACUACGUG
rnacentral:rRNA from 1 species